rnacentral:ncRNA from 1 species
AGAAAAGCGAUGAUGGGGAGAGUAGGUCAAUGCUAUUCUUUUACAGAAAGCUUUGGUAGCUGAAAAGAAGCAAGGAAUGAUUGAUUGAAUAUGGUCUCUGAGCUGCGUAUCUGAACUUUUAGAGUAAGGGUAUGACGAGAUUUGGCACUCGUUACAAAUGUCAUGGUAUAAGAACAUGCCGUUUUAUCCCGAAUAGAAGGUCCGUAAGACUCUCACUUCAAUAGUUGAUUGUGCAAAAAAGGUAAGUGAGAGAUAACAGCGCCUAAAUUUCCGAUUUAUUUAGAGACCUUUAGGUCAUGCCAUUACGGUACUAACAAGCCGUGGGGUGUAAAGGCACGGCUACUGAUUGGGGAUCACUUUAUUGUUCCGUACCAAUGGAGACUAAUCAUGUGAAUGAUUAGUGAAUAAAGGUGGUAACACGGGGAUAACCUCGUCCUUUGA